UCACGUAUUUGUGUAAUGGUAGUUUCUCUUCCACCUUUAACAACCAACUCUCACUCAUCAUACUUCACUUAUUUUCUUAAUUUUUUCUCAUUUAUUCUUUUCACUUCACUUCCCAUAACGGUUUCUAUUCCAUAUGCAAAAAUGGUUGUUCACUCUCUCACGAACUGCUCCUCUUCUUCUUCCUUCUCCCUUUUCUUCUUCCUUCCUCCUCUUCUUAUCUCACUUUUUGAUGUUGUUUUUUCAAGAAGUAUGGAAUUGAAAUUCGAGCGGUAAGCCAAUGAUUUAGUUACUUCAAUUUAUGUUUGUGUUGAAAUCCAAUUUUCUCAAGUAAACCCUAAAACUCAAUUUUCUGUUACAAUGGAUGAAUGUAAGUAAAUUGAUUUAUCUGAACAAUUAGAGGUGUUGUGUUUGUUGGAAUUGAAAUUGUGGAACAACAACUUAUGAUGAUAAUAGUGGAGAGAUUUAUGUCGGCUCUAAAAAAUCAAAAUCUAAGAGGAGAAUCAGUGUUGGGUUCAAUCAAAAUUGUUGUUGGAACUCCAAAAAUGGCUUCACGAACAGGUUGAAGUACAUUAUUACUGCGGAGGAGAUUCUUUCUGCAUUGUGUUUCAUUGAGAAAGCAAAAGUUGAUCUUUCUGGUUUUCUUGACACCCUUGGAGGAAAGGAAUCCCUGGGAGAACCUGAAUGUUGAUUUUUAUUGCAAAGGUUGAAGCAAGAAAUUUUGUCCCUACAGAUGAUCAUAACAUGUUUAGCAUAAGCAACAAUAGUCAUGGGUCGACGGGUCCUACUUUUAUCCGUGCAAAGAAGCUUGUCUAGCAUCUACUCUUACCGAGAGUGAUUUUAAGAAUUACUGUGAUCAAUACGGUAUUUGCAAACAUCAUACACUAAAAAGCUUGACUAAAAUUUGCUUUUAUUCUCGUCUCAUAGGUAAUUGUUCAAUUGAGUUUGUGUUGUAAUUUUAUCUUCAGGACCUAAAAAGAGUUUGAAGUUUAAAACCUCCACAGAUGCUUCUAAAGCACAAGUUAUUGAUGCUAUGAAGAAGAUAUCUUCACAUGUCAAUAACCCUGUAAAAUUCAGCAAGGAUGCAAAGUUUUUCAUUCGGUUGAUUUAUUCAGAAAGUGUUAAGUCUUCAGUUAGUGAUUAUUUUUUUGCGAUAUUAGAAGCUGCAAUGUUGUCGCCCGAACCUUGUACGCAUCCUUCCGUGUGGGUAGAUUAUCAUUCUUUGUUCUCAGCAGCGCAAGAUGCGAAAGAAGUGCUUCAGUGAAUUUUACUUUCCACGCUUUGCAAAUCAGGACAAGCAAUUUUUUGCAACUUCUAGGAACAGAUGGAUUUGGAUGUGUGUAUAAAGGAAGCUUAGGAGAUGGCACCUUAGUGGCGGUGAAGAAACUUGACAAGAUUUUGCCUUAUGGAGAAAAAUAAUAUAUUACUAAAAUAAACAUGAUUGGCCCAAUGCAUCAGUUGGUUCGUCUAUGUGGAUUUUGUUCGGAAAGACCUCAGAGCCUUUUAGUUUACAAGUUCAUGAAGAACAGUUCAUUAGAUCAGUGGAUCCGCCCUUCGAUUCGAGGGCGAGAUAGAUUGCUCGGUAGGAUAAGAUUGCUCUCACACCUUAUUGAGCAUUCAUGACACGCGGGGUUAAAAUAGAAUAGUGGUGGUAAUGUCUAGAAAUAUAGUGAGGGGCUUAGACUUUGAAGUCUAUGAUCGGCUUUGGCGGUGUUUGCGUGAUUCGAGGUGCUUCUUCAUAGGGAUUACUACUUAUGGAGUAGCAUGGUAUUGGUGAGUUUUUCGAUCUGAUAAGUAGGCUACUGUUGUGUGUAUUGAAGGCAUGUUAUGUUAUGCUUCUGUUGUUCUACAACUUCAUUAAUUUUUUUUACCUUUGCUUAAAUUGUGAGAGACUAGAGUCAUUUGGAGGGAUGUUAUAUCCAUUCUCCAAUUCUGCUUUGUUUUUUUUAGAUUGGUGUUGGUAACAAACAAUUUUGUAUCUUUGGCAUUGCUUGUAACAUAUUUUUAGUAGUCUUAUUUUGGCCUUUCAAAAAAACUUCAUCUUCAUAGAGAUAGGUGUAACCAUAAGCUACAACAUUUUAAUCAUGUGCAAUUGUAGUAGUAGCCAUAAUAGUAAUAGCAUGUAAAUUUUAAUCAUUGGAAGAAUUUACAACAUGAGUAAUAACAUCAUCUUGAACACUUUUUUCCAAGUGCAUGAGUAAGACAAGUCCCAGUUUGUUGAGAUUCAUAAGUCACAGCAAAGUAUUUUUUAUCAUUGACAUUAGAGCUGACACAACCUGAUAAUACCGACAACAUCCCACCCGAUUUAUAUCUUAGAAAUAUUGACGAGUUGUUUGAAAAAAACGAGAGUCUUCUAUUGAAAUGAUGCUCAUAUGUCACCAUAAAUCACAACAGCUACAACAGUUAUAUCGACACAGCAACAUGCAAUUUAAGCCACCGCUAAUGUUUUGAAACAUCAUUUGACAGCUUAAAGUGAGUGGAAAUUCAGCCUCAAAGCAACGACAUUCCAAGGAGACUCAAAUUCAAGUCGGUGCGCUUGCUGGGCGCUGACACCCAGAGAGAUAUAAAUGGCACAAGAAAAAGGAUCAUGAUUUUGCCAUUAGAAUGCCAAACUUCAGUAUUUUGAGUGUGCUAAAACAUUUAAACAUCACACAUUUACCCAAGUUCAUUUUUUUUACACUAUAUUCCAUUUUUACGAUU